rnacentral:lncRNA from 1 species
CCCCCCCCCCCCAUCAGCACCUUUUCUUCGAUCUUGAGAACAAAAAAUCCCUCACCCUUCCACCGUCAAACACACCUAGAACUCCUCCAUAAAAGCCCCAACCUAACAACAGUACCAACACAAUCAGCAACCUUCGCUGACUCCCCGCCCCCCCUUUUAUGUCGCCUGAGACAACAACAAAAACGGAUCUAAGAAGGACGGACGAAGGAGACGAGUACAACGACAACGUAUAAGGAGAUUCAAUGUUUGAUUUCGGAUUCAAAUCCUACUGAUUUUCGUUCCAUAGUUUCUCUCGCUCUUCUGCUUUUGAUUCUAAAAGCCAUGGAAUCUGAUGGAGCUUUGAUUGAGGUUUGAUACGUCGUUGAUUUGAGGGCUGUCAUUUGUGGUGGAAGUUCGCGAUUUCUGCUGAUUUUUAGUCGCUGAUUUCGCUCGGAUUUAGAGUCGAAACUUGGUACUCGACAAUUCUUCUACCAAUAUUAAGGAAGUCUUUGUUUAAACAGGUUCUUCUCCUCACUAAUUCAUCUUCUUCAAUUUUCUGGUUGUGAAUUUAGGUAUCCAAGAGCCGGGUUAAGAUGAGUUUUGUUUUACAUGUGUUUAUGUGGUGAUAUAAUUGUUAUGGUGCAUUUAUGAGUUAAUUUCCAAUCGUUUGAUUUUUCCGAAUCCGAUUUCCCUCGGUUUAAUUAGCUUCUCGUAUUCUAUCACUGUUAGUAUAAUACAAUGUUAAAAUGUUAAGGGGAGAUGUUGAGUCAACAGUCUGACACAUCCGAUUCUUCUUGGCUUAAGUAAACUUCGAUAAUGUUGAGUCACGAACCAUAGAAAUUUGUUAUAAGUCGUUCACUAACUUAAUGAAAAACAUAGAGUGCAAUUGAUCUUUUCUUGAAGGAUAAACUGUUUUUUUAAUUAUGAUGGCACACGUUUACAUGAUCUGUAACAUUACCAAGGAGUAAUAGAACAUCCCAAUGUCCAAAAUCACAAAAAGCACGUAUGAGAAUAACCUUAGAAUUUCGUAGUUCGUUUUAGGUUAAAUUAUCACAAUUGUGGGUAUGAUUCUCAUAGCGUGGUCGUGACACUUAAUUUCAAAUUAGUUUAAAAAAUGAACAUCCGUAGUUAAUUGCUUUUCCUUUAAUAAAAUUGAGGUGUGCCAUCUAAUCACUUAGUCUAUGGCCCUCACAUCGAUAUCUUAAUUAGUGUAGAAAAUGCCUUGAACUCUCAUAAUUUGCUUUAGGCGCGUUUAAUUAAUUAAAUUGUCAUAGCUACGGGUACGGUUCCUGUGACGUAGUUGUGAUUCUUUAAUUUCUAAAAUCCGGGGGUAUAUUUAUGUGACCCAGCCACAAUUCAAUCUUGUUAAUAAAAUAAACAUGUUGUGGAUCGUGGGUACGGGUCCCCUGACACGAUUCGCGACGUGUAACUAAAUAAUUAAUUGUAUAACAAUUGGAUUAUUAAAAGCGGGUAAAAAGGAAUAAAAUACACAUAUGUUUCAAAGAUGUUUUAAAAUCAAAUAAAUGGGCCAAUAAUAACAGUUGAGCGACCGUGCUAAAACCACGAAACUCGGGAAUGCCUAACACCUUCUCUCGCGUUAACAAAAUUCCUUACCCGGAUUUCUGUGUUCACGGAAUGUAAAACAGAGUCAAUCUUUCCUCGAUUCGGGAUUUAAACCGGUGACUUGAGACACCAUAAAUUAUCCCAAGUGGCGACUCUGAAUUUUAAAUAAAAUAAUCCCGUUUCGAUUGUCACUUAAUAUGGAAAAAACUCCCUUAUAUACCUUAUCGGGGCAGUAAAAAGGAGGUGUGACAGCUCUGGUGACUCUGUUGGGGACUAGAAUCCAGAAUCUCUCGUUUAGGGUUCAAGAAUUCGAGCUUAGAAUAAAUUGUUAUACUUGGCUUUGUUUAUUAUCUGGUUUUAUUAUAUGUUUGGGUCUAAUGUGCUAAAUGCUGCUUUUUACCGCUUUGAUACUAUUUGAACUGUAUAUAAACUGCUACGAAACCCUUCUCUUCUCAUCUCCGGGGAUGUGCACGCUGGCGUGACUCCUCUUCUGUUAGUGUCAGAGCUUAGAUUAGGAAGAGGCUCGGACAAGUUACAAAGCCGGAUGGCCUUUUGGUUCCCGGUACGUAGCCCGCCCCCCCCCCCCCCCCCGACUCGAGUUGUCCGCUCGGGUACACAAGUCUAGAACAACAUACCCAGAUUUUGAACCUAGAAUAACUCAGCCUCAUGCCGGAUCCCUAGUAGGGGUGGUUGUUUGCAUCAUAUGCAUUUGACUUUGGGGACUCAACACAAGGGUUGGGUCCGUCUAGGACAGGUGUACCCAAAAAUAAAAGACCAUCCUGAUACAUCCUAAUGUGCUACAUGUUGCAAUCUUCAAGGGUAAAAGAAUCAUUUGGCGGAACGAUAAUAGUUGAGGGCAAAUGAAAAUAAAAAUAAAAAGAAAACAAGAGAGUGAAGUGUGAAAAUAAGGCAAGUAGGGCCCAGUUAUGUUUUCUUUCACUUUUUUUAAAAGAAAAGGGAAAAGAAUAUGAAAAAUUCAAAAAGAUUUUGCAUUUUUUCAUCAUUUUCCGAAAAUCAAAAAUAAAAAAAAAGGAAAAGAAAAUCCAAAAAGAGUUUAUAUGUUUCAUCAUUUUUCAAAACAAAAUAUGUUUUCUCUAAAUUAGUUGUUUUUUUUAAUUCUUGCCCGUAUCCAAUUUGCCCGAACUACGCAUAUCUGAUUCUCGUCUUUCGGGGCGUGAUACAUAGGCAACCCUCAUAGGGUCCGGUCUUCCUAGUGAAUUUAGGUUCUUGGCUUCGUGGGGUCUUAGUCAAAUCUUGCAUUUUUAGAAAAAAGAUAUGUAAUAAAUCAAAAUCCAAAAAAGAGGUUUUGCGUUUUUAUAUUUCCGUUAGAAGUUUUCUUUAGAAUACUAAUUCUAGGAAUUAAAUUUUUUUUAUUUGAGGUGGUUUUUCUUUAGGCAAUUAAUAUCUAGAACUCAAAAUAAAAAUUGCUUUUAUAUUUCCUUUUACUACAUUAAGAUUAAAAAAAAAGAAGAGAAUUUGUUUUAGUACCUCUAAAGGUUUUCUUUUAAGAUAUUAAUUCCAAUAAAUCCAAAAAAAAAAAAAGAUUUUCUUUUGAGGCUCUUCUUUGAGAAAUUCACGAAAAUGGAAAAAAAAAUUCUUUUUAUUUUCACUAGAACUUUAGGAUAUUGUACAUAGGAAAAAAAACAUGCUUCAUCUUGUGUUUAUCUUCAGAGUUUCUUUCUUAGGUAAUCAAAUUGAAAUCCAAAAAUAUUUUUUAUCUUUUUCGUUUCUUGUUUCGAAAUCUUUCUUCAAGAUAUCAAGUGAAAAUUCAAAAUACUUUUCUUUGGUUCAUUUUUUUUAGAUUUCCUUUAAAAAAAAUCAAAAAAUAUUUCUGUUCUAGGGGUUCUUCAUUAAUAAUUUCUCAUAGAGUAUCUGUUUCAAAAAGAAAAAAAACUUAUGUUCGUUUAAUAUUGAGUUUAGAAUAGGUUAUAGAACAUUAAGUCUAGAAAACUCAAAAAAAGAGAUUUGUUUUUUUCUUUUCUCAUCAAAAUAGUCAUUAAGAUAAAAAAAAAGAAAAAAAAAGAAAAAGGGAAAGAAAAGAAAUGAGAAUGUUAGUUUGUUUAUUUUAUUUCCGAUCUUUCCAAACUACGCAAAGAUCUGAUUUAUGCGUCGUCAUGAUACGUAGGCAACCUACAUAGGGUUCGAUCGAAUCAUUUUUUUUAAAAAAGAAGGAAAGAAAAGAGAAAAGAAAAAAGAAAGGUGAAAUUAUGGGAUGUGAGAAAUGAGAGAAAGAAAAGAGCGAUGAUUAAAAAAAAGAGAAAGGAAGGAAAAUGAGCAAGCCAAGAAGUACUAGAAAAGAAAGGAAAGAGAAGAUUGAAAAUAAUAAAUUGGGAUGAUGCCAUAUGACCUUCAUACCCUUGAAGUCAUUUACAACCGAUAACUGUGGCUAGGUGCAUUGCACAUAAAGUGAGAUUAUCUUAUGUUAAAUGUCCUAAUGCUAACGUGAUGACUUCAUUUUCAUAGUAGAAAGGUGGUUGGUUUGUGGUUCUUAAAGUGGUAACUCUUCUCUACAACAUAAGGUCGAAAGGCAAUGGCAGACAACAAUGGAAUUGAGUUGGUUGGUAUUGGUGCCCAAAAGCAAUUGGUUGAACAGGGCAAUGGAUUAGUUGAAGAGGUAAGGAUGUUAAGACAACACAUUGCGGACAUGUAUCAGGCUUGGAUGACUGGGAAGACACCACCCCCGCCACCAUCUAGCUUCUUAGAUGCUCCCCUUACCCAAACUCCGGUCGUAGUGCCAGAUGAUCCCCUAUACUCUCUAAAUCCACCCGCUUAUCACAGCUUUUCCAACCACCCUAGUAGCUCCAUCACUCAUCCUCUAAUUACAUCUCCCCAAAAUUGCCCUCCUGUGAUAUCCACUAUCCCUAUGAUCACAACUUUUUUACAAUCUUCCCUUCAUAGGUCCGACAAUGAACAUCCACUCAAAGCCCAUGAUGCCCAAUAUUACCCCUUAGAGGUUGCCCAUAAGGUUCCUGACUCAUACAAUCAGAGCAUUUGGAAUGAGCCUCAUGUUGAAAAUGAAAAGUUUACAGGAAAACAAGGACGAGAUGAGCUAUCCAGAAAACUGAAAGGAUCUAAAACGUCAAAGCUUAAUUUAUAUGAUGGACGUGGAGAUCCAGUAGCCCAUCUGAGAGGUUAAUGUAGUAAAAUGAGAAGUGUUGGCGGGAAAGAUAAUUUGUUGAUGGCGUAUUUCAGUGAGAGCUUGACUGGGGAAGCCUUGCAAUGGUAUACUCGUCAAGAUGUCAAUAAGUAGUAUGCAUGGGAUGACAUGGUUCAGGAUUUUGGUCGACUCUUUCGGUACAAUCUGGACAUUAUCCCAGAUCGCUCCUCCCUAUCUAAGAUGAAAAAAAAACCCGAGAAAAGUUUUAGGGAGUUUGGGCUCAGAUGGAGGGAACAAGCUGCUCGGGUUAGCCCCCCGAUCGGUGAAGAAGAAAUGGUUGAGCUUUUCCUACAAGCCCAGGGCCCCACCUACUUCAGUCAUUUGAUCCCGGCCUUGGGUAAACCUUUCAAUGUUGUGGUAAAAAUGGGGGAGAUGGUAGAGGAGGGAAUCAAGUCAGGCAAAAUCAUGAGUUAUUCUGCAUUGAAAGACACUACAAAAGACAUUCAGAACAUCUCAGUAUGUUUGGAUGGAAGAAAGAGAAAUAGAAAAGAUGUUGUUGAGCCACGUCAACGAUAGGAUCCAGUGGGCAUUCCUGCUCAACGCUUUCUGCCUCGAUAUCGACCCCAUGGAUAUCCUUGUGCUCCAGAUAAUCCUUCCCAAUGCUACUUCUCUCCACAAAACCCCCGAAGUCGUACAUUACCUUCCCAGUACUCCAUCCAUAAUGCACCACUAUAUGCUCCACAGCCACGAGACCCGCGAUGGCCUGCAUCACUUCCACAAAUGUAUUACCCGCCCCCUCAAGCAUAUCAACCACCUACCCGCAAAAGGUUCCAAUCGAGGCCAGAGUACAAGAUAAAAAGACAAAAGCAAAAGGAGAAGACUUUCACUCCCAUUGGAGAAGCAUAUGCCAGUUUGUUUCAAAGGUUGAGGCAAUUGGACAUGUUGAAGUCGAUUCAGAUAAAAAUGCUGAACCUUAUUCCAAAGAAUUUUGAUUAUUCUCAAGGGUACACAUAUUGCUCUGAUGCCCUAGGUCACAACACAGAAAAGUGUUGGCACUUGAAAAAAGCAAUUCAAAGCUUAUUGAUGCAGGUGACAUUGUAGUGCAAAAUCCAGAUGCAGUAGACACUAGCCAAAGUCCAUCGCCUGUUCAUAAUGAGACGCAUAUGAUGUGUAUGAUUUUUUUGAAAAGGAAUAUGAGAAUUCUUCUGAGAUCCUCGGAGGUCCACGUGUUGCAAAGCUUUCAACGGUAUCAGAGGUUGAUCUUAAGAACGAGCUGGCAAAAGGGAGCCAAAUGCAAUUUGCUAAAGUCAAUAUGAUGGAGACUUGUGAAGGUUCUAUUAAUGUUGAUGCGGAACUCAGUAGCUAAUAUGUCGAACUUGGUAAUUGGAAAGACGCUCCUUUCUUGGCUAUCCGGGGAGAAGUCUUGGUGGUUUAUUUUGUUGUCAUUUCUGUUGUUUGAGUUAUUUUUAGGGUUGUAAUCCGAAUAUUGUCUUGUGACUCAAACCCUUAUAUCCUUUUAUUUUGCCUAGUUCCUUUAGUCGUAGUAACUCAUUUAGUGUUAUCUAGUUUUGUUCCAAGGUUGUACCCCAGUUUAUUUUGCUUGUCUUAUUGCUCAAACCCUUUCACUAUCUGUCUAAUGUAAUUUUCUGAUUUCUGUUAUUUCUAGUCAUUUUUGAUUAGUUCUCUUUUCCUUUUAUAGUUCUUUUCAUGCUGGUUCUAGUGACAUGACAUACAAGCAUAAUUCUAGUCUGGUCAUAAAAGUUAGUUUAGUCAUGAAGCAAUAAAAUAACUUUGAAUAAGAUAAGGACAUUUGAGGGAAGUAAGUAAAGGGAUUUUGAGAUAACUUAAAACCCGAAUUGUGUGAAACUGUGGUAGAUAAUUUGGAAAGUUAAUAGGGCGACAAGAAUUCGUUAAGGGAGAGUGAAUCCCAGACAAUUUGAAGCAAGAAACUUUGAGUUCAAGUGCAUCUCAAGUUACAAGAUAAAGUCAAGGAAGUUUUAUCCGAAUUGACGGAGGAUAUCCAUUGUGAAAAGGGAAUCACCCAACGAGGGUUCUGUACUUGACAAGGCGUUAAAGAAAAGAGAAGGCAUAUCAGUAAUAUCAAUGUCGAAGUCGCAAAAGAAAUAUUGUGCAUGAUCUUAAAUUCAUUUCAAGUUGCAUGUGUUGCACUUGGCAUCUUUAGGGAUUGGGAGUCCCUCUUUCAGUUACCCAAACACUUAUACCAUUUGAUACCCUCUUGAGCUUGUACUAAUUUCUUUGACCUCCCCUCUUUUGGAAUCAAGUUAGAGUCAUAAACAUGCCCCCAUAGGUUUAUUUUAAAAAGUUCAUUCCAAAAGGAAAAUUCAAAAAAAAAAGAGAAAAAAAGAGAUAAAGAAAAAAAAAGAAAAGAACAAAAAAAGAAAAAGGAAAAAAAGAAAGGAAAAAGAAAAAAACAAGAAAAAAGAAAAGGAAAAUAGUAACAAAAGUAGUCUUGUUGUGAAAAUCUGGCCGGUCGUCUUAAGAAUUAAUGCCCCGAUCCCUUAUUAAUUGCUUUCCCCAAGUUUAAUUAUGCUAUUUGAUUGCUGGGAUGUUCGGUUUUGAGUUUCGGAGAGUUCUGAGACACUUAGUCCCUAAAUGAGAGCUUAAGUGUUGGAAAGUUGACCGUCAUUGGAACAGUAUGAAAACGGCCUCGAAAUGGAAAUACGAUGGUUCUGUUAGUUCCGUUAGAUGAUUUUGGGCUUAGGGGUGUGUUCAGAUCGUGUUUUGGAGGUCCGUAGCUAAUUUAGGCUUGAAAUGCCGAAAGUUGAAUUUUUGAAGUUUCCGAUCCGAUAGUGAUGAAAUUCCGGAAGUUGGAGUAGCUCCGUAGUGUUGAAUGUGACGUGUGUGCAAAAUUUCAGGUCAUUCGGACGAGGUUUGAUAGACUUUUGAUCGAAAUCAUAUUUUGAGAAUUUUGGAGUUCUUAGGCUUAAAUCCAUGGUUAAUUCGAGGUUUCAAUGUUGUUUUAGGUGUUUAUGGAUUAGUACAAGUUGGGAUAGUGGUUUGUGACUUGUUGGUGCCUUUGGUUGAGGUCCCGGAGGCCUCGAGGUGAUUUCGGAUGGUUAACGAGAAGUUGUGAAAAUGUUGCAGCUGCUGUAUUUUCGCAGCUUCUGGUAUUUUCACAUAUGCGGUUUGGGGACCGCAGAAGCGGCUAAGGAGACCGCAAAAGCGGAUUUAGGUCUUUUCUUCAGGUUCCGUAGAUGCGGAAGGAAUACCGCAGAAGCGGUGGAGCAUCUACGAAAGGGUAAUCGCAAAUGCGGUUUCUGGUCAUUUAAAUGAGUCACAGAUGCGACAUAGUUUCCGUAGAAGCGGGACCGCAGAUGCGGUCCAAGGGUCUCAAAUGCGGAAAUCGCUGGGCAGAACAUAUAAAUAGUUGCCUUUUCGAAUUUGAACUUUUCUUUCACCAUUUUCAUCUGGGUNNNNNNNNNNNNNNNNNNNNNNNNNNNNNNNNNNNNNNNNNNNNNNNNNNNNNNNNNNNNNNNNNNNNNNNNNNNNNNNNNNNNNNNNNNNNNNNNNNNNNNNNNNNNNNNNNNNNNNNNNNNNNNNNNNNNNNNNNNNNNNNNNNNNNNNNNNNNNNNNNNNNNNNNNNNNNNNNNNNNNNNNNNNNNNNNNNNNNNNNNNNNNNNNNNNNNNNNNNNNNNNNNNNNNNNNNNNNNNNNNNNNNNNNNNNNNNNNNNNNNNNNNNNNNNNNNNNNNNNNNNNNNNNNNNNNNNNNNNNNNNNNNNNNNNNNNNNNNNNNNNNNNNNNNNNNNNNNNNNNNNNNNNNNNNNNNNNNNNNNNNNNNNNNNNNNNNNNNNNNNNNNNNNNNNNNNNNNNNNNNNNNNNNNNNNNNNNNNNNNNNNNNNNNNNNNNNNNNNNNNNNNNNNNNNNNNNNNNNNNNNNNNNNNNNNNNNNNNAGUGGUGAAAAAUUUGGGAAAAAUGGGUAAUUAGGGCUUGAGUUUAAGAGACAUUUGAAUAAGGAUUUGAGGGGUCAUUUGGACUCCAAUUUUAGUGUUCUUGUUAUGUAUAGACUCGUGAGAGUACGAGGUUUCUGAAAAUAUAAAUUUCACCUGAUUCCGAGACGUGGACCCGAGGGACAUUUUGGUCAUUUUACUUAAUUUCGCGUAUUAGCUUAGAAUUUAAUUGUAGAAUCAGUUACUUGAAGUGUUAUUUAUAUUAUGCAAUUGAAUUGAAUAGAUUUGGGCCAUUUGGAGUCGAGUACUCGCAAAGACGUGGUGUUGGGUUGAUUUUGAGCCGGUUCGAGGUAAGCGGCUUGUCUAACCUUGUGUGGGGGACCUUCCCCUUAGGAUUGGUAUGUUUGGUAAUUGAAAUGCCUUGUACGUGAGGUGAUGAGUGCGUACUUGUGCUAAUUGUUUGAAAUCCGAUUUUCUUUAAGUAAUUACUAGUAUGUUUCCUUUCCUGUUUCUAUUACUUGUACUAUUAAGCCUGUUGUUAGCUUAGGAAAGCAUGUCUAAGUGACUUAAUUGUUUUAUUUGAUUCAACCUGCCUUACUUGAAUUCUGUUCAACAUGCUAGGCUAGAAUCACUUAUUGCCUUAAUAUGAAAUUUUGCAUUUCUGUAUAUCUUCCUGCUGCUGUUGUGUAUUUAUUUUGGGACUACUGAUGUGGGAUUCCAGUAGCUCUCCCUUGUCUGUUUACUUUGGGACUACGGGUUAGAUUCCCGGUAGACCCCCCUACAUAUUUACUUUGGGACUACGGGUUAGAUUCUCGGUAGAUCCCCCUGUACAGUUAUAUAGAACUACGGGAAUGCACCCGGUAGAUUCCCACAGUACUGGGUAUUUACAUUUGGGACUGUGGAAUGGGAUUCUAGUAGAUCCCCACGCACUAUGAGUUGGACUACGGGAUGGGAUCUCGGGAGCUCCAUUGGAUAUAUACAUAUGGGACUACAGGACGGUAUCCUAGGAGAUGCCCGAUUGUUAUUAUUGGUACUGAGCUGUAAUUCCUUUCCAUGUUUACCUUGUUUUCUGUAUAGUUGUUGCUGUCCUGUACAUCCUGUGUUAUUUUACUGCCGUACUUAUUUAUACUGUUCUGUUCUAUACUGUUGAUCUUUAUAUUUUACUUGACCUUAGUAGGGCCCUGACCUUCCUUGUCACUACCCAAUCAAGGUUAGGCUCAACACUUAUUGAGGACCGCUGUGGUGUACUCA